AGGACUCUUCACAAACCAAAGAACUCCCCAGAAUCUCCCUCCUCUGAGUUCACCCAACUGCUGUGAGUCUGCCCAGGUGCUGCUGGGAGCAGCACACAGCUCUACACCCAAAGCUCAGCUCUGCCUCCUCAGGCUCUCCUGGGGCUAAUCAAGGCCUAUUCAAGUCCCACCAGACUCGCUUCUUCACACACAUCAGGCUCAGCAGAACCUACACGGGUGCCUUUCUUGUUUUGUUUUUGUUUCUAAGGGCUUGGGAGGGGAGGAAUUGCUGCAAUCCCUCUAAGGCCUCUUGCCUCAGCUGCACCAUACAGCUGCUGUGUGGUUAAGCAAGACUGCACUGGCAGGGCAGCACUGGAGCCAGAGCUGUAUCAUUAUCCCUGCUGGCCAAUUGUUUCAUCAUGGAACUCUGCAAUCACAGUCCAGCUUGCAGACAAAGGGGGCUCUAAAACACAGCUCCAACUGCUCAGCAACAGGAGGCUUCUAAUGUUCAGAGCAGGCACCUGAACAGGGCAUGCUUUGGGAUGACAGCAAACAACCCAAACCCAAACACAGACACCACCUGGACCUUGGGACUGAACUUUGGCACCUCUCCACAUCCACCGCUGUUACUCAGACCUUCCUUGGAAAAUGUAAGCUGAUACCUUUCAAAAAAUAAACAAAAGACCUCACCUAUAA